GGUUCUCUGGGACAAUGCAAUUAUUCAACUCCCGGAAAAGGUUUUCUCAGGACUCACAAAUCUAACAUAUCUGGAUCUCGAUGGAAACAAAAUAGUAUUACUACCACGCAAGAUUUUCUACGGUCUCACGGCUCUAACAUCGCUCGAUCUCAGGAACAAUGCAAUAACACAACUCCCAGAAAAGGUUUUCUUAGGACUCGCAUCACUAGAACGGCUGUAAGUUGAAUUCACCAAACAAACAAUUAAAAUCACUCAGUUGUACACC